CCAUUGUUCUUUAUAGAUAAAAUCUUUAGAUAAAUGGGCAAAAGUAGAUUGGCUAGUCUCGUUUUGUGGCCUUUGUUACUCGAGCAAUUAAGUCCGUAGGGGGAUUUCAAAACCUAGUGCCCUAAGACCGUUUGGUUUGGGAGUCACUGACCUAAAGCUCGCUACAUGGGUAACACUGUUUGCCUAAGAAAACGGACAAAAUAAAGUCAAUGCAAAAAAAAAAAAAGAAGAAAAAAGAGGAAGUGUUCUUAGACAAUUAGGAUCCAUCAAAGGCCUUAAAUUCAUUACACUCCUUGGAUUUCUAGUAAAUUUCUGUGUCGAUGCAAGUAGAUUAGAGACAAACUGUAUCUUGAUUAUUAGUAGAUGAGUCUUUAAGUUGUAUUUUCCUUAAAAAAACGCUUUUGUUAACACCAACGAAAUUAGAGUAGAGUCGAGUAGACACUUGCUAGAAUGUCUCGAAGUUUUUAUGGGUAUAUCUUCUGUAAACCCUUAGGAGACAAAACUCCUCUUCUAGAGAUCGUCUACGAGUUUAACGGGUUGGUGAACCUAAAAUCACCCGUCACGCCUACGAAAAGGAGC
rnacentral:lncRNA from 1 species